GAUGAACGCUGGCGGCAUGCCUAACACAUGCAAGUCGAACGGAAUCUUAUAUGUUCCUCGUUUUGGAUUUAGUUCCAAGUUGAGGAACAAUAAGAUUUAGUGGCGGACGGGUGAGUAACACGUUGGUACCUACCCUCUAGUGGGGAAUAACUUCGAGAAAUCGAGGCUAAUACCGCAUAAUAUCUACGGAUUAAAGCAUUUAUGCGCUAGAGGAGGGGCCUGCGUCUGAUUAGCUAGUUGGUGAGGUAAAAGCUCACCAAGGCAACGAUCAGUAGCUGGAUCGAGAGGUUGACCAGCCACACUGGGACUGAGAUACGGCCCAGACUCCUACGGGAGGCAGCAGUGAGGAAUCUUCCACAAUGGACGAAAGCCUGACCUAGCGACGCCGCGUGAGGGAAGAAGGCCUUCGGGUCGUAAACCUCUGUCAUGGGGACGAAGGAAGUGACGGUACCCCAAGAGGAAGCCCUGCUAACUACGUGCCAGCAGCCGCGGUAAAACGUCUA
rnacentral:rRNA from 1 species